GAUGAACGCUGGCGGCGUGCCUAAUACAUGCAAGUCGAGCGAACGGACGAGAAGCUUGCUUCUCUGAUGUUAGCGGCGGACGGGUGAGUAACACGUGGAUAACCUACCUAUAAGACUGGGAUAACUUCGGGAAACCGGAGCUAAUACCGGAUAAUAUUUUGAACCGCAUGGUUCAAAAGUGAAAGACGGUCUUGCUGUCACUUAUAGAUGGAUCCGCGCUGCAUUAGCUAGUUGGUAAGGUAACGGCUUACCAAGGCAACGAUGCAUAGCCGACCUGAGAGGGUGAUCGGCCACACUGGAACUGAGACACGGUCCAGACUCCUACGGGAGGCAGCAGUAGGGAAUCUUCCGCAAUGGGCGAAAGCCUGACGGAGCAACGCCGCGUGAGUGAUGAAGGUCUUCGGAUCGUAAAACUCUGUUAUUAGGGAAGAACAUAUGUGUAAGUAACUAUGCACAUCUUGACGGUACCUAAUCAGAAAGCCACGGCUAACUACGUGCCAGCAGCCGCGGUAAUACGUAGGUGGCAAGCGUUAUCCGGAAUUAUUGGGCGUAAAGCGCGCGUAGGCGGUUUUUUAAGUCUGAUGUGAAAGCCCACGGCUCAACCGUGGAGGGUCAUUGGAAACUGGAAAACUUGAGUGCAGAAGAGGAAAGUGGAAUUCCAUGUGUAGCGGUGAAAUGCGCAGAGAUAUGGAGGAACACCAGUGGCGAAGGCGACUUUCUGGUCUGUAACUGACGCUGAUGUGCGAAAGCGUGGGGAUCAAACAGGAUUAGAUACCCUGGUAGUCCACGCCGUAAACGAUGAGUGCUAAGUGUUAGGGGGUUUCCGCCCCUUAGUGCUGCAGCUAACGCAUUAAGCACUCCGCCUGGGGAGUACGACCGCAAGGUUGAAACUCAAAGGAAUUGACGGGGACCCGCACAAGCGGUGGAGCAUGUGGUUUAAUUCGAAGCAACGCGAAGAACCUUACCAAAUCUUGACAUCCUUUGACAACUCUAGAGAUAGAGCUUUCCCCUUCGGGGGACAAAGUGACAGGUGGUGCAUGGUUGUCGUCAGCUCGUGUCGUGAGAUGUUGGGUUAAGUCCCGCAACGAGCGCAACCCUUAAGCUUAGUUGCCAUCAUUAAGUUGGGCACUCUAAGUUGACUGCCGGUGACAAACCGGAGGAAGGUGGGGAUGACGUCAAAUCAUCAUGCCCCUUAUGAUUUGGGCUACACACGUGCUACAAUGGACAAUACAAAGGGCAGCGAAACCGCGAGGUCAAGCAAAUCCCAUAAAGUUGUUCUCAGUUCGGAUUGUAGUCUGCAACUCGACUACAUGAAGCUGGAAUCGCUAGUAAUCGUAGAUCAGCAUGCUACGGUGAAUACGUUCCCGGGUCU
rnacentral:rRNA from 1 species